rnacentral:tRNA from 1 species
GCCUGGCUGGCUCAGUUGGUAGAGCAUAUGACUCUUAAUCUCAGGGUUGUGAGUUCAAGCCCCAUGUUGGGUG